rnacentral:rRNA from 1 species
UUCCGGUUGAUCCUGCCGGACCCCACUGCUAUCGGGGUGGGACUAAAACAUGCGAGUCGAGCGCCCUCAAGCUAUGGUGAAGGCGCGGCGAACGGCUCAGUAACACGUGGCUAACCUACCCUUUGGACGGGGACAACCCCGGGAAACUGGGCCUAAUCCCCGAUAGAUGAGAAGUCCUGGAAUGGUUUCUCAUCUAAAAGGUGUUUAGAGCAUGCUUCUAGGCGUCGCCAAAGGAUGGGGCCGCGGCCGAUCAGGUUGUUGGUGAGGUAACGGCUCACCAAGCCUAUAACCGGUACGGGCCGUGAGAGCGGGAGCCCGGAGAUGGGCACCGAGAUAAGGGCCCAGGCCCUACGGGGCACAGCAGUUGCGAAAGCUCCGCAAUGCGCGAAAGCGUGACGGGGCUACCCCGAGUGCCGUCCGCUGAGGACGGCUUUUCCACGGUGUAAGGAGCCGUGGGAAUAAGGAGAGGGUAAGCCUGGUGUCAGCCGCCGCGGUAAAACCAGCUCUCCGAGUGGUAGGGACGAUUAUUGGGCUUAAAGCGUCCGUAGCCGGCUUGGCAAGUCUCCCGUUAAAUCCAGCGACCUAAUCGUUGGGCUGCAGGAGAUACUGUUGGGCUAGGGGGCGGGAGAGGCCGACGGUAUUCCCGGGGUAGGGGUGAAAUCCUAUAAUCCCGGGAGGACCACCAGUGGCGAAGGCUGUCGGCUAGAACGCGCUCGACGGUGAGGGACGAAAGCUGGGGGAGCGAACCGGAUUAGAUACCCGGGUAGUCCCAGCUGUAAACGAUGCGGGCUAGGUGUUGGGGUGGCUACGAGCCACUUCAGUGCCGCAGGGAAGCCAUUAAGCCCGCCGCCUGGGGAGUACGGCCGCAAGGCUGAAA